UCAUAGCCCUGAUGGGAGGGAAAAUCCUUUUAUUUUUUCUUUCAAAAAAUAAAAGAUUUGGAAGGACAGCAGGAAUCCAU
rnacentral:sRNA from 1 species